rnacentral:rRNA from 1 species
UGGCGGCGUGCCUAAUACAUGCAAGUCGAACGCACUCUCGUUUAGAUUGAAGGAGCUUGCUCCUGAUUGAUAAACAUUUGAGUGAGUGGCGACGGGUGAGUAACACGUGGGUAACCUGCCCUAAAGUGGGGAUAACAUUUGGAAACAGAUGCUAAUACCGCAUAAAACCUAACACCGCAUGGUGUAGGGUUGAAAGAUGGUUUCGGCUAUCACUUUAGGAUGGACCCGCGGUGCAUUAGUUAGUUGGUGAGGUAAAGGCUCACCAAGACCGUGAUGCAUAGCCGACCUGAGAGGGUAAUCGGCCACACUGGGACUGAGACACGGCCCAGACUCCUGCGGGAGGCAGCAGUAGGGAAUCUUCCACAAUGGACGAAAGUCUGAUGGAGCAACGCCGCGUGAGUGAAGAAGGUUUUCGGAUCGUAAAACUCUGUUGUUGGAGAAGAAUGUAUCUGAUAGUAACUGAUCAGGUAGUGACGGUAUCCAACCAGAAAGCCACGGCUAACUACGUG